UGGCGAACGGGUGAGUAACGCGUGAGGAACCUGCCUCAAAGAGGGGGACGAACAGUUGGAAACGACUGCUAAUACCGCAUAAGCCCACGGGUCGGCAUCGACCAGAGGGAAAAGGAGCAAUCCGCUUUAAGAUGGCCUCGCGUCCGAUUAGCUAGUUGGUGAGGUAAUGGCCCACCAAGGCGACGAUCGGUAGCCGGACUGAGAGGUUGAACGGCCACAUUGGGACUGAGACACGGCCCAGACUCCUACGGGAGGCAGCAUG
rnacentral:rRNA from 1 species